UACGUAGGUGGCAAGCGUUGUCCGGAUUUACUGGGCGUAAAGAGCGCGCAGGCGGCCGAGUAAGUCGAAUGUGAAAGCCCCCGGCUCAACUGGGAAAGGUCAUUCGAUACUGUUCGGCUUGAAGAUGGGAGAGGGAAGCGGAAUUUCAGGUGUAGUGGUGAAAUGCGUAGAUAUCUGAAGGAACACCAGUGGCGAAGGCGGCUUUCUGGCCUAUUCUUGACGCUGAGGCGCGAAAGCUAGGGGAGCGAACGGG
rnacentral:rRNA from 1 species